rnacentral:rRNA from 1 species
AUACGUAGGGCGCGAGCGUUGUCCGGAAUUACUGGGUGUAAAGGGUGCGUAGGCGGGACUGCAAGUCAGAUGUGAAAUGCCGGGGCUCAACCCCGGAGCUGCAUUUGAAACUGUGGUUCUUGAGUGAGGUAGAGGUAAGCGGAAUUCCUAGUGUAGCGGUGAGAUGCGUAGAUAUUAGGAGGAACAUCGGUGGCGAAGGCGGCUUACUGGGCCUUUACUGACGCUGAGGCACGAAAGCGUGGGGAGCAAACAGGAUUAGAUACCCUGGUAGUCCACGCUGUAAACGAUGAUGACUAGGUGUGGGGGGACUGAACCCUUCCGUGCCGCAGUUAACACAAUAAGUCAUCCACCUGGGGAGUACGGCCGCAAGGUUGAAACUCAAAUGAAUUGACGGGG